rnacentral:lncRNA from 1 species
GUUAUUAUUUUGAUAUCGAUAAUGAUCAAGCUUAUGUGAGUGAAGGAUUAUAUAAUUUUUGAAAGCUUGUCGGUGAACUAUUUAACGCAUCACAAUACUUUAGCAAACUAUUUAAAUUGUGGAAAUGACAAAUCAUUAUUGUUGAGGCAUGAAAAGAAACUUAACAUUAAUCUUAUUGACUAUGGUAUACUUGACAAUUAUGGAACACCAUGUGAUCAUCAACAAUGGAUGUCAAAAAAUACAUCAUUAUUCAUGAUAAAAGCAUG